rnacentral:rRNA from 1 species
CCUACGGGAGGCUGCAGUGGGGGAUAUUGCACAAUGGGGGAAACCCUGAUGCAGCGACGCCGCGUGAGUGAAGAAGUAUUUCGGUAUGUAAAGCUCUAUCAGCAGGGAAGAAAAUGACAGUACCUGACUAAGAAGCCCCGGCUAACUACGUGCCAGCAGCCGCGGUAAUACGUAGGGGGCAAGCGUUAUCCGGAUUUACUGGGUGUAAAGGGAGCGUAGACGGAUAUGCAAGUCUGAAGUGAAAGCCCGGGGCCCAACCCCGGGACUGCUUUGGAAACUGUGUGACUGGAGUGCAGGAGGGGCAAGCGGAAUUCCUGGUGUAUCGGUGAAAUGCGUAGAUAUCAGGAGGAACACCAGCGGCGAAGGCGGCCUGCUGGACUGAAACUGACGUUGAGGCUCGAAAGCGUGGGGAGCAAACAGGAUUAGAUACCCGAGUAGUC